CCCGGCCCCGGCCCCGAGCCCGGUCACGCGUGGCUUGGCUCUUACCGGCACCGCGGGCGCAUCCUGUGUCGUCCCACUGCCCUCGUACAGCCGGCAUGCGAGCGCUGUCGACCCAUGCCCGUUGAAACCAUGCAAGUUAUGCUGGAAACACUCAUGCUAAGGAACAGCACGCUUUGAAGAGCCAGAUUCCUCCUCAUUUUCAUGGAGACGCUUUCUUGUGGUGAUUGGCUAAAAGAAAGAUGCAGCAGGAUGGCUACAUGACGCAAGCAGCUCAAUGAACACCAGUAAUUCCAGCCCAAGCUGCUAAACCCAGUAAAGAAAAUGAACACUUAAAACUGCAGAAAGCAGGAAACUUACCUUCCCA